UUUUCGUGGUUUUUCUAUUUAACGUUUUACCGUUCGUCUUAUUUGAAAAAAAAUUAUGAUUGCUAUGUUUAUUGUUAUUAGAUGAUAAAACAUUAAUAGUACUUUAAACGUGACGAAUUUUUAUUAUUUUUUUCAUAAAUUUUUCAAAUAAAAUGGACGGUCAAAUAUUAGAUAUGGUAACCCACGACUGUAAUUGAA
rfam:Oryza meridionalis cultivar OR44 (W2112) chromosome 7, whole genome shotgun sequence.